GACGUAGGGGGCAAGCGUUAUUCGGAAUUAUUGGGCGUAAAGCGCUCGUAGGCGGAUCGGAAAGUCGGUGAAGAAAGACCUGGGCUCAACUCAGGGAACGGCACCGAUACUAUCGGUCUUGAGGCAAUCAGAGGGUGAUGGAAUUCCCGGUGUAGCGGUGAAAUGCGUAGAUAUCAGGAGGAAUACCGAUGGCGAAGGCAGGUCUCUGGGCUGACACUGACGCUCAUGCACGAAAGCGUGGGGAGCGAACAGG
rnacentral:rRNA from 1 species